CAUGUCCUGGCUCUCUCUUGACUUCAGGUGGCCAGCUAAUCCACUGGAAAUGCCAGCUGGGCCUCCAUGACGCUCCUUUUGUUACCUCUGACCACACUGAGGAAUGAGAUGAAUAUGCAUUUUUGGCUUUGACCUUCUUCAAAGAUGCUUAUCCACUGUCACAAACACCUGCCUUGGCUGUUGUGGGUUGCAGAGCACAGUUUAGUCACAGCUGCCCCAAUUGAGCUGUAAUUUAGAGAGAAGGUGGCAGGUGUACUUGGGAAAGACAGAGAAGACACAAUUCUAUUUUUAUGACUGACAAUGACUUGUUCAGCACCCCGUCUCAGACAAUCUUUAACGAAAUACUUUUUGUAUUGUAAAGUAUAGAACUACUUUAGAGGAAGGGGACUAAGUCCACAGGGUACUUUCUAAUCCCCAGGGUGACCUUUUCCAGAUCUCCCUUCGGAACAGACCCCAGGUGCCCAGUACUGGGUCCUCCUCUCUGCAAAGUGGGGGUGAGGUGGCAUAGUUGGCUCCCUGUGAGAACAGGCCACGUCUUCUCCCCCAGCUGUUCGCAGCCUUCUCCUCCCCACCAUGGGUACACUCCGGAGGCUGGUGUGAUCCCAUUUGCACACAGCUUGAGCUUGAGUUAGAACAGCGAGCAGAGCUCUGCUUUUUAAAGAUCUGGACUUUUCUGGAAAGGCCUUACUCACCAAUCAGAAUCCUUUUCCAGCAAGUCACAAUUGGGGGGCCAAGAACUGAGCUAGUUUCUGAAUACACGUUGGAGACCCAAGGUGGCCCCCAAGUCCUUUUCAUUAAGUGGGGAAGAUGAGGUGAAGCGCUUUCUGUCCCUGAGUCGUCAGCCAAGGAAUCACACCUCGGAGUCCUUCUCCCUCUGAUGGAGAUACUGCCAAAGUCAGCAAGGGUGGAAGGCGAAACCUCAGAAGGACCCACUCUGCGGGGGCACAUCCCACUAUGAAAGUGUCAUCGAUGAAAGCAGUUAAAGCCAUGUUAAAACCAGGUCCUGCUUAAUUAUACAGAAAUAUUCAUGCGUGUCGUCCUUAUAGGCCCGUUUUCUAAGGAAAGUUGGGGUUUACAGAGAACCUUCUAUAAGUGCUGUUGUGUUAGUCUGUCCCCAGGAUUCCAGCUACUGAAUGCAAAGUACUGACAGGCACAUGGACCUGUGUGGAGAUUGCUAGAAGUGUGGUGGAGUUUGGGAGGGCCACUCACCCCUGCAGGAGCUGGUCAUUUGGGGGAGGGGUUGGGGACGGUUUCUUGCCUCCUCGAAGCAUAUUCAUUUCAAAAGCAAGAUUAACUUUAAUUCCAUUUAGUAUUUCUUUUUAUCCCUUGUUAUCUCUUAGAGUUUCAACAUACUUUCUGGAAAAUUCCCUCUUUUGAGAUAACCCACAAUUCACCUCUUCAUGUUUUCACUGGAAACAGAGACCCUGAGGAGCAGAUAGAGGCAAACGCAUCUUUCUCAGCCAGCACCAUUCCCUCACGAGUCAGGCCCAGAAGCCCAAAAUAGCCUCUCUCAUGUUCUUCUUUCAAUGGCUGCUUUAUUGUAACCGGAGAUGAGGGAAGAAGGGUGGAGAUGCUGUCCCAAAGCCUCAGGGGGCACAUAUAUGAGAAAACCUCUUGGGAGAUGUCUCCUCCGCCUUCCCUGCUCUUGGGCAUUCCUCAGGUUGAGAUUCCUGGCAGAGCUGAAGGGCCAGCACUCCUCACCUGGGCCCCUCUCCCCUCCAGGGAGUCAGGCUCUCCAAGGCCCUGCCCCAUUGGUGCCCUCAGCCUCCAAGGCCAGCAGCCUCAGCUUUCACGUCCACCUCCACUCACUGACCCCCAGCCCCACCCACCCUCAGUGGACAGCAGCCUGAGUCCACU
rnacentral:lncRNA from 1 species